GGUAAGAUGGCUGAGUUAGGUGAUAGACUGUAAAUCUAUUUAGGAGGAGUUACACCUCUCUUACCA
rnacentral:tRNA from 1 species